ACGCUCGACACCUACGGGGGGCAGCAGUGGGGAAUAUUGCACAAUGGGGGAAACCCUGAUGCAGCGACGCCGCGUGGAGGAAGAAGGUCUUCGGAUUGUAAACUCCUGUUGUUGGGGAAAAAGAGGAUGGUACCCAACAAGGAAGUGACGGCUAACUACGUGCCUAGCAGCCGACGGUAAUCUGAGGCGGGCUGGCAAGGC
rnacentral:rRNA from 1 species